UACGAAGGGGGCUAGCGUUGCUCGGAAUCACUGGGCGUAAAGCGCACGUAGGCGGCUUUCUAAGUCAGGGGUGAAAUCCUGGAGCUCAACUCCAGAACUGCCUUUGAUACUGGAGAGCUUGAGUCCGGGAGAGGUGAGUGGAAUUGCGAGUGUAGAGGUGAAAUUCGUAGAUAUUCGCAAGAACACCAGUGGCGAAGGCGGCUCACUGGCCCGGAACUGACGCUGAGACGCGAAAGCGUGGGGAGCAAACAGG
rnacentral:rRNA from 1 species